GCUAAUCGUGGCCGAGUGGUUAAAUGAUGGACUUGAAAUCCACUUGGGUCUUCCUGUGCAGGUUUGAAUCCUGCCAACUGCG